rnacentral:lncRNA from 1 species
CCUGGCUAGUGUUGCCAGAGAUGCAGCUAUCCAAGAGAGCAGGCAGCAUUCCUGGUAUUGAAAAAGCUCCCAGAAUGGACGUCAAGGGGUUGUUCUGUUGAAGCAUGGCAGGUGCAUCACCCUUAAGCCACAG